AGCCUAGUUCUAGCACUGCUUUCUUCUGUAUUUUGCCUUGGUGUUUUCAAGAGUGAAGCCUGGAAUUCAGCCUUCUCUUCCCUCCUCCUUAUACCCAGCUUUAGGAGCUCUGAAUGGACAUUCUGAUACUCAGCCACUGUGAGUGAGUCACCCUUGGUCCCUCCAAGUCUGUAACUCUGAGGAACAGAUUUGCUGGCAGACUUGCUUCUAUGAAAGCAUUUAGAAAAACUGGCAGAUUUAAACUAUUGGGAGGGGUAUUUUCUCCAUUUCUUUUAUCUUUUUAUUUAUUCCUCUCUGAGCUUCCCAUGAUUUGACACCAACAAUGUAUUUCCAUUAACAUUCUCAUAGUUGCACAACAGUUCAGGUACAACCACUCCAAAUGCCUCUGGGAUCUUCUUUUCUCCUCCAAACACAACUAGGAUUCAUUACCUCUGUACUUGAAAUUGGGGGAUAAUGAGAACCACGUGGAACUGAAAAAUUCAUUAAUCAUACUGAACAACAAAGUUUUUGCCAUCAGAGGCUAUCAUACAAACAAAAAGCAGGAAGACUCAACUUGUCAGACUCAAGCACUUCUUUAGUCUUAUUAAGAACAGGAUGCAGUAAUUCUGUAUUGGCCCCACCUCAGCUCACUGAAAGACAUUUGGUUGUUAGAGCCAGUUUAUACACUGGCUGAUGAUGAAUUGGUUACUUGCAUUUAUAUUAAAAAAAAAAACAGACUGUGUAAAAAAAAUUAAAUAACACGCACAA